AUUGAACGCUGGCGGAAUGCUUUACACAUGCAAGUCGAACGGCAGCACGGGGCAACCUGGUGGCGAGUGGCGAACGGGUGAGUAAUACAUCGGAACGUGCCCAAUCGUGGGGGGAUAACGUAGCGAAAGUUACGCUAAUACCGCAUACGAUCUACGGAUGAAAGCGGGGGAUCGCAAGACCUCGCGCGAGUGGAGCGGCCGAUGUCAGAUUAGGUAGUUGGUGGGGUAAAGGCUCACCAAGCCAACGAUCUGUAGCUGGUCUGAGAGGACGACCAGCCACACUGGAACUGAGACACGGUCCAGACUCCUACGGGAGGCAGCAGUGGGGAAUUUUGGACAAUGGGCGCAAGCCUGAUCCAGCCAUUCCGCGUGCAGGAUGAAGGCCUGGGUUGUAAACCUCUUUCAGCAGGGAAGAAGCGAAAGUGACGGUACCUGCAGAAGAAGCACCGGCUAACUACGUGCCAGCAGCCGCGGUAAU
rnacentral:rRNA from 1 species